AUUUUACCGAAUCGCAGAGUGAUCGUGCUGAUAACGUGUUAUAAAAAAACUAGAAUUUUAUUGUAUCGAGGAAAUUUAAAUAAGGGCAAAAUUUUAUACCCGUAGGAGAAGAUAACACUGAUAAUAAGAGAGGAUGUGUUAUUAGAAGGAGAAGGAAUGGUGUGUUUAUAAACGAUCGAAACGAUCGUUUAUAUAGAAGAGAAAUUAACUGUGCAAAUAGUGCAACGGGCCUCACAUCCUUUAUAAUUUUCAACAUAUGCGGCUCAUAACAGUUACUCUAUAUUUGGAGUCAACUUAUUUUUCACUCUAUUAUUUCACUCUAACGAGGUUAGAAAUGCCAUUGGUAUAAAGAAGAAAAAGUCCCUAUCAAACUCGUUAAGACAAGUUUCACACCUUUCAAAUAAUAGAUUUCGUCCACGAUAAAAAUAAUCUUAUUAACUAUACGUAGUAGACAAAAUAAUUUAUAAUAUGAUGAAUAAUUACGAUAUAUUCAUCAUAUAUCAAUGUAUUCAUUGAAUAGGUAAAUUGGUUUUUGAAAAGGGGGAAACAACAAUUUAUAAUAUGAUGAAUAAUUACGAUUUUAUUCAUCAUAUACUUUGCAUCUAUUUUUUUAUUUUUUUUAAACUUUGCAUCUACUAUUAUUUUCCUUGACAAUUGGUAAUAUUCGACUAUAUACAAAGAGCAGAUAUACAUGCAUGUAUUGUAUAUGGUAUUUGGUGAGACUUGAGGAUAGUUGAACACAGGUCACUAAAUAAAAACAUAGUGGGUGUAAUAGUGAGAUCACUAUCAUUAUCUCAAUACGUAGUAAUAAUUAUUAAAUGUUGGGUUAGUUUUCUAUUUUCUCAUGAUUUUAAGGUUUGAAUGUAUGUAGACAAUUACAACACAUAGUUACGUCUCAGUUUGAUAGCAACCUAUCGAUUUAUUAUUCUUAUACGUACCCCCACAACUUCCUAAUCUGUCAUUUGUGUUUCUUAAUUCUGGAAAUGUAUUAAUGUUAUUGAAAUGGGAUUAUUGUAUAUAUAAGAUUGAUGCAUGACACUUUCACAAUAUAUCCCAUAGAAUACGUAAUAAUCAAAAUGUUCACGUUAAAACUGUAGGGUAAGGUUCUAUCAGGCGACACACAACAAAUCAACAAUCUUUAACAAACAGAAAAAUAUAUGCAAAUAGAUCAUUUUAAUCACUAUUUCCAAUACACAAUUUUUGGUGUGAUCUGAUCAUUACAUGGACUAUUUUUUUCAGAUAUUUUUACCAAAUAAUUAGUAUUUUGUUUUUCCGAAAAGUACUUCAAUUAAUAACUCAUACGUAUUGUUCUAAUAUAGUUAUCACACAAUAGUUUUAUUGUUUCUAUAAACAACUGAAUAAGAAAAAAAGAGAGUUAAAUAUCAAUAUGAUUACCAGACAAUAAUUAGAAAAGAAUUGGUCAAAUAAACCUAACCAAUUUUUAUGGAUCCCCAUCCAAGACGCAUUGCUAGUUUACAUACUUCUAUCUAUAAAUUAAUCUAAAUAGAAAUUACACCAAAAAAAGGAGUAAAUAUAAUAUUCAAAAAAAAGAAAAAUAAAUGUGUAUCGUAAGAAAAAUAUGCCGUCAUCACAGUUCGCUAUCUUUUCCAUCAUCUUGAUUGCUUUAUUUUCUCUUCAUGAAUUUGUCGAUGGCCAAGGUCUUAAAGCGGGCAAUUCAGCUAGAAACGAUUGCAUUGCAGGGGAAUAAUAUGCCCAACCGCCCAAAAACAUUUACGCAGAUGUAUUUGUUGUUUUGUCCCCGACGCUAUUACUGAGCCCAAGUGUUACCCGAAGGAAGAAGACUGUAAGCGUAACUGCAACCUAUUAUAAGUUAUCUCGAGGACGUACAUCAAUGAUUUAAAAAAAAAAUAAGGAUAACGUUUUUAUUUAAUACCUCCUAAUAUCUGCCUUCGUUUUAUAUGAAUAAUACAAGCUUAUUUGGAGCCCAACAAAUAUAAUUAUGCCUAUUGUACGUAAUGCACACUAGUUAAACCUAUUUUCUCCCUUUUC